AGGACGAACGCUGGCGGCGUGCUUAACACAUGCAAGUCGAGCGGUAAGGCUCCUUCGGGAGUACACGAGCGGCGAACGGGUGAGUAACACGUGAGCAAUCUGCCCUUCACUUCGGGAUAACUCCGGGAAACCGGUGCUAAUACCGAAUACGACCACUUCAGGCAUCUGAUGGUGGUGGAAAGUUCCGGCGGUGAAGGAUGAGCUCGCGGCCUAUCAGCUUGUUGGUGAGGUAACGGCCACAAGGCAACGACGGGUAGCCGGCCUGAGAGGGUGACCGGCACACUGGACUGAGACACGGCCCAGACUCCUACGGGAGCAGCAGUGGGAAUAUGGACAAGUGGGCAAAGCCUAGACUCCAGACAACGCCGACGGUGAAGGGAUGGAACCGGUCCGUUCGGGUUAGUAAACCUCUUUCGAAGGCGGGUAACGAAGCGAAAGU
rnacentral:rRNA from 1 species